UACAGAGGUCCCGAGCGUUGUUCGGAUUUAUUGGGCGUAAAGCGUGCGCAGGCGGUGAUGUAAGACAGAUGUGAAAUCCCCGGGCUCAACCUGGGAACUGCAUUUGUGACUGCAUCGCUGGAGUGCGGCAGAGGGGGAUGGAAUUCCGCGUGUAGCAGUGAAAUGCGUAGAUAUGCGGAGGAACACCGAUGGCGAAGGCAAUCCCCUGGGCCUGCACUGACGCUCAUGCACGAAAGCGUGGGGAGCAAACAGG
rnacentral:rRNA from 1 species